GCCUCAAUAGCUUAAUCGGUAGAGCAUUCGCUUGAAGCGCGACUGGUCUGAGUUCAACUCUCAGUUCUGGCA